UCCAUUCUAUUCUAUUCUAUUCCAUUCUAUUCUAUUCCAUUCCAUUCUAUUCUAUUCCAUUCUAUUCUAUUCUAUUCUAUUCUAUUCCAUUCUAUUCCAUUCUAUUCUAUUCUAUUCUAUCCUAUUCUAUUCUAUUCCAUUCUAUUCCAUUCUAUUCUAUUCCAUUCCAUUCCAUUCCAUUCCAUUCUAUUCCAUUCUAUUCUAUUCUAUUCUACUCCAUUCCAUUCCAUUCUAUUCUAUUCCAUUCUAUUCUAUUCUAUUCUACUCCAUUCCAUUCCAUUCCAUUCCAUUCCAUUCUAUUCCAUUCUAUUCUAUUCUAUUCUAUUCUACUCCAUUCCAUUCCAUUCUAUUCUAUUCCAUUCUAUUCCAUUCUAUUCCAUUCCAUUCCAUUCCAUUCCAUUCUAUUCUAUUCUAUUCUAUUCUACUCCAUUCCAUUCCAUUCUAUUCUAUUCCAUUCUAUUCCAUUCCAUUCCAUUCCAUUCUAUUCCAUUCCAUUCUAUUUCAUUCCAUUCCAUUCUAUUCCAUUCCAUUCCAUUCCAUUCUAUUCCAUUCCAUUCUAUUCCAUUCCAUUCUAUUUCAUUCCAUUCCAUUCUAUUCCAUUCUAUUCCAUUCCAUUCUAUUCCAUUCCAUUCUAUUCCAUUCCAUUCCAUUCCAUCUCCCUUCUCCUCUCACUGUACUAAUUGCUUUCAUACCCCUCUGGUCCAGGUCUGCAGAGGGAUCAUCUAGGAUGGCCUCUGCUCCUCAAUCCACCAUCUCGACAAGUCAAGAUACAGUCCCACCCUCUCCUUCACUGGCCAAUCCUGCAGCUUGCUGUCCACCUACAACUGCCACAAACAACCAAUCAGCAACUACUCUGUCGCCAAGCAACAACCAGUCUACAUUGGAAGUGAGUAGCCCGGUCCCUACACUGCGCAGCAUCAACAAGAAGGCCAAGUCCAGGCCUAUGGACAAGGACGGACGCUACCGGAACGGUCUCAGCCACACCUCCAUCUACCUGUCCAAGGCUAAGAAACCUUCCCUUGCAGAGGACCUGGGGGGUGUAGGGGGAGUGACGGGGGUCAACAACCGGCUGCCUGGACCGGGUGGGCCUGAAGACCAGCAGACACUGCCCCUGCCUCAGAGACAACGCAGGGACAACACACACAUCAGCACGGAGGAGGAAACAGGACGAAGACCAUCCCCUUCCCUUAUAGAUCUGCACAUCCUGGAGACAGACCAACACAUCUCAUCACACAACUGCCCCCAUCCUGACAGCUGCAGGUGGGUCUUCCUGUGUGGUUCUCUACACAGCUGUGGAUCUGCCUGUGUGGUUCUCUACACAGCUGUGAGUCUGCCUGUGUGGUUCUCUACACAGCUGUGAGUCUGCCUGUGUGGUUCUCUACACAGCUGUGGAUCUGCCUGUGUGGUUCUCUACACAGCUGUGAGUCUGCCUGUGUGGUUCUCUACACAGCUGUGAGUCUGCCUGUG
rnacentral:lncRNA from 1 species